rnacentral:rRNA from 1 species
AGAGUUUGAUCCUGGCUCAGAACGUACGCUGGCGGCACGCCUAAUACAUGCAAGUCGAACGAAGUAGCAAUACUUAGUGGCAGACGGGUGAGUAACAUGUGGGUAUCUUCCCUUUGGUGAGGAAUAACACGAGGAAACUUGUGCUAAUACCUCAUAAGUCUUUACGGAGAAAGCUUUAUGCGCCAAUGGAUGAGCCCGCACUUGAUUAGUUUGUUGGUGGGGUAAUGGCCUACCAAGACAAUGAUCAAUAGUUGAUUUGAGAGGAUGAUCAGCCACAUUGGGACUGAGACACGGCCCAAACUCCUACGGGAGGCAGCAGUAGGGAAUCUUGCACAAUGGAGGAAACUCUGAUGCAGCGAUGCCGCGUGAGUGAAGAAGGCCCUUGGGUUGUAAAGCUCUUUCGUCGGGGAAGAAAAUGACUGUACCCGAAUAAGAAGGUCCGGCUAACUUCGUGCCAGCAGCCGCGGUAAUACGAAGGGACCUAGCGUAGUUCGGAAUUACUGGGCUUAAAGAGUUCGUAGGUGGUUAAAAAAGUUGGUGGUGAAAGCCCAGAGCUUAACUCUGGAACUGCCAUCAAAACUUUUUAGCUAGAGUAUGAUAGAGGAAAGCAGAAUUUCUAGUGUAGAGGUGAAAUUCGUAGAUAUUAGAAAGAAUACCAAUUGCGAAGGCAGCUUUCUGGAUCAUUACUGACACUGAGGAACGAAAGCAUGGGUAGCGAAGAGGAUUAGAUACCCUCGUAGUCCAUGCUGUAAACGAUGUGUGUUAGAUGUUGGAAAUUUAUUUUCAGUAUCGCAGCGAAAGCAAUAAACACACCGCCUGGGGAGUACGACCGCAAGGUUAAAACUCAAAUGAAUUGACGGGGACCCGCACAAGUAGUGGAGCAUGUGGUUUAAUUCGAAGAUACGCGCAGAACCUUACCAACACUUGACAUGUUCGUCGCGACUCUAAGAGAUUAGAGUUUUCGGUUCGGCCGGUCGAAACACAGGUGCUGCAUGGCUGUCGUCAGCUCGUGUCGUGAGAUGUUGGGUUAAGUCCCGCAACGAGCGCAACCCUCACUUUUAGUUGCCAUCAUUAAGUUGGGCACUCUGAAAGAACUGCCAGUGAUAAGCUGGAGGAAGGCGGGGAUGACGUCAAGUCCUCAUGGCCCUUACGUGUUGGGCUACACACGUGCUACAAUGGUAUUUACAACAGGAAGCAAAACUGCGAAGUUAAGCAAAUCCUUAAAAGAUACCUCAGUUCGGAUUGCACUCUGCAACUCGAGUGCAUGAAGCUGGAAUUACUAGUAAUCGUGGAUCAGCGUGCCACGGUGAAUGCGUUCCCGGGUCUUGUACACACCGCCCGUCACACCAUGGGAGUUGGUUCUACCUUAAGGCAAGGUUUAAAACCCUUGACCACGGUAUAGUCAGCGACUGGGGUGAAGUCGUAACAAGGUAACC